AGGACGAACGCUGGCGGCGUGCUUAACACAUGCAAGUCGAGCGGUGACCCUCCUUCGGGAGGUGAUCAGCGGCGAACGGGUGAGUAACACGUGGGCAACCUGCCCCUCACACUGGGAUAACCUCGGGAAACCGGGGCUAAUACCGGAUACGACCUCGAGCGGCAUCUCUUGAGGUGGAAGCUCCGACGGUGAGGGAUGGGCCCGCGGCCUAUCAGCUUGUUGGUGGGGUAAUGGCCUACCAAGGCGACGACGGGUA
rnacentral:rRNA from 1 species